GGUACACCCAGUAAAAAGUUAUUGCGAAUUUUCGAGAGUUUCCCUCGAUUUCUCUGGGAUUCCAUCAUCAGAUCCUGGUUUCCUUAUCAUGGUACUAAACUAGGGAUAUCUCCUUUCCAACAAAAAAAUAAUUAUCAAAAUCGGUACAUCCAGUAAAAAGUUAUGCGGUAUAAUACAACGUAGGUCGACGAAAAAAGCGUCAAGUAAAAACGCAUUAUUAGAUAUAACUCGAAAAGUAGUUGUUAGAUCUCAAAUAAAUUUAAAUGGGACCAAUUGGCACACACCACAUUUCGAUUAAAACAAAAUUUGUCGAAAUCGGUCUACCCGAUCAAAAGUUCUGAUGUAACAUACAUAAAA
rnacentral:misc_RNA from 1 species